rnacentral:rRNA from 1 species
CCUACGGGAGGCAGCAGUGAGGAAUAUUGGUCAAUGGGCUUACGCCUGAACCAGCCAAGUCGCGUGAGGGAAGACUGCCCUAUGGGUUGUAAACCUCUUUUGUCAGGGAGCAAUUGGCGCUACGUGUAGCGUUAUCGAGAGUACCUGAAGAAAAAGCAUCGGCUAACUCCGUGCCAGCAGCCGCGGUAAUACGGAGGAUGCGAGCGUUAUCCGGAUUUAUUGGGUUUAAAGGGUGCGUAGGCGGAAUGCCAAGUCAGCGGUAAAAUCGCGGGGCUCAACCUCGCUCCGACGUUGAAACUGGCGUGCUUGAGUGGGCGAGAAGUAUGCGGAAUGCGUGGUGUAGCGGUGAAAUGCAUAGAUAUCACGCAGAACUCCGAUUGCGAAGGCAGCAUACCGGCGCCCAACUGACGCUGAAGCACGAAAGCGUGGGUAUCGAACAGGAUUAGAUACCCCGGUAGUC